rnacentral:rRNA from 1 species
AUUGAACGCUGGCGGCAGGCCUAACACAUGCAAGUCGAGCGGAAUGAUGAAGAAGCUUGCUUCUUCUGAUUUUAGCGGCGGACGGGUGAGUAACACGUGGGCAACCUACCUUGUAGAUUGGGAUAACUCCGGGAAACCGGGGCUAAUACCGAAUAAUCCAUUUUGCUUCAUGGCGAGAUGUUAAAAGGCGGCUUCGGCUGUCACUACGAGAUGGGCCCGCGGCGCAUUAGCUAGUUGGUAGGGUAAUGGCCUACCAAGGCGACGAUGCGUAGCCGACCUGAGAGGGUGAUCGGCCACACUGGGACUGAGACACGGCCCAGACUCCUACGGGAGGCAGCAGUAGGGAAUCUUCCACAAUGGACGAAAGUCUGAUGGAGCAACGCCGCGUGAGUGAAGAAGGUUUUCGGAUCGUAAAACUCUGUUGUAAGGGAAGAACACGUACGAGAGUAACUGCUCGUACCUUGACGGUACCUUAUUAGAAAGCCACGGCUAACUACGUG